UACGUAGGGAGCGAGCGUUGUCCGGAUUUACUGGGUGUAAAGGGUGCGUAGGCGGCUCUGUAAGUCAGAAGUGAAAUCCAUGGGCUCAACCCAUGAACUGCUUUUGAAACUGUGGAGCUUGAGUGAAGUAGAGGUAGGCGGAAUUCCCGGUGUAGCGGUGAAAUGCGUAGAGAUCGGGAGGAACACCAGUGGCGAAGGCGGCCUACUGGGCUUUAACUGACGCUGAGGCACGAAAGCGUGGGUAGCAAACA
rnacentral:rRNA from 1 species